UGUAUAUUACGGAGAAUUGAACAGAGUUCUGUCCAAUGCGAGAGUUGGCUGGACAGAGGAAGCAUUUUUUAUAGAUCAUCAUGAAUACUUUUGAAGACAUUGCACAUUUGUAUUCUCUCUUUCAAGGCGUCACUGGCGCAUCAGGGCAGCUCGAUUUCAAGGGUCGUGUGAUGAGCUACAAAGCCGAAGGUCGAAUUCAUAAACUUCAGUGGGUGUAUGAUGGAACCGCCUGGGAUGUGGAGAGUGGAACAUGUGCGGAAGCCAGGCACUACAAAAGUACUCAAGGUGCUAUUCAACAUGCCUUAAAGAAACUAAUUGACGACCUCAAAGCUAAAGGAAUACUGAAAUGAAACGCGUUUUUUUUCAGACUUUGCGUGACAAAGAUGUCACACAAUUUUAUGUCAUCUCAGAGUAUAGUGAGAAAGAGCAUUGGUUAAUUUUUUUCUAUUUCCAGUACAAAUAUUGUCGAAUGGAUUUAAAAGAUAAUGUUGUGGCAAACAUCAUGUCAGUUAUAAGAACAUUUACGCUAGUUUGUAAAAGAAAAAAGUUGUCAGAGACGUUUUUUUUGGAAUGCGAGCAUGUUGGAAGAACUUCAAAAAGAAAUAAACGACUUUGCUUAUUGAAGCGUUCGUCGCCUCAUAUAGCCAACCUGUUAAUAUACUUCACCAUCACUCAAAAAUUUUUAAGCGCUGGAAUCUGAAGGCCAGUUUACUAACAUGCAAUACGAUCUUCCAUUUCUUUGUACCAACCGUGAUUCUGGUCUUUUAUCUAAAUGUUAUCACCUUGUUAAAUGACAGUUUUUUUGUAUUAAGCGAUCACCUGUAGGGAAUGGCAGAGUGACCUUUUUAUACAGAUUCCACAUAAAAGGGGUAAAAUAUAACAAUGAAAAACGCCAAAUGAUGCCAUUACUGACAAGUUAAUAUAGAAACGCUCGCCCAAAAAUACUACUAACAUUGAUUUCGAGAGAGAAACAUGAAUUAAAUUUCACCUGAAAGAUUAUUCUUUGUUCUAUUUGAGUGGCAUCGCUUAAAUGCUUUAAGUGACCGCGCGCGUUCAAUUAGGUGGGAAACAGGAUUUUGGGACUCACUCAAAGGUGACCAGGACAGCUUCGUAGAAGUAUGAAUUAUAGUGAUUAUUGGGAAACAAAUUCAGGACUUGACAAGCGAAUGCUUAGUACAGAGUGACCUUUAAAAACAGGUUCGACUGUAUCACUCUAAGGACAGGAAAAUAGCAUUUUGCGUCAACUGUGUUUCUCUAUAUAACAGAUGUCUACACAAUAUGUUAAUUUUACUUUACAAAAGUUUAUUUCUAACUAAGUAUCCUAUCCAUGUGAGGAAUAUGUUUACUUUUCGUAAUACUACUUGCGGUAACUACAUUCUGAAACUCCCUGUUGCUAAGACUACUUCUUAUGGCCUUCCGGCUCUUUUUCUUAUCAUGCCGUUAAACUAUGGAAUUCACUUCCGGACAGUUCGAACUUUGAACCUUAAUGACUUUAAAAAAGCAUUAGCUAGCCUUAAAUUAAUGUAAUUUUAGAACAUAUUGUAAUUGAACUCAUAUUGUAAUUUUAAAUAUUCUGUAAAUCUAUUUAUUUCAUUUUCGCCGUUAAUUAUAAACAUUGC
rnacentral:lncRNA from 1 species